UGCAUUUACCCACCACUGCCAUGACAUAAGUUAUAUCACAAAAUAAUUUUGGUGAUAAUUUUGAAGGUCAAAUAAACACAACACAAACAACAAUGUACAGUUUACACCAUCAGCAAAUGUAGAGAAUAAGUCUAGCAACACAUCUGUAUCAUACUGUGGCCCAUGGUUAAACAACAUGGACUACUAAUACAUGACAAGUGAUAGCUAACGUAAUACUGUAAUUUUCAUUUGUACUACAAACUUGGUACUUAGCCAUAUAAUUCAUUUUAUCAUGUUCAUUGUGUCCCACGAUCAUUAUUAUAACACUAUAAAACCAAACAUUCAUUGUCCCACUUACGGGUAUAGAAAUAAUAGCUUUCUUGCUUUUCCUUUCCAUUUAGCAAUGUCACACAUGGUCCUUUUAUUGCCAUAGAACAUAGAACUUUGAUUCUCCAUUAAAAGUAUUUCAUUUAUGACCUUGAAGUAAUCAAAAUGAUAGCAUAAAGUAGCUUUAAUAGUGGUCCAGUAAAGAUUUCCAGCUAAAAACAAAGUACAACCUAAGUUCAGCCAUUUUCUUGGGUAACACCUUUUCCGGUUGCAAAGAAAAUUCUUCCGGUUUAGGGAGGGUGCAGUUCGGCUGCACAGUCCUGCUGUCGUCUUGCUUUAGGCAGCUCAUUCUUAUAGGCAGGUACUGCAUUUCUCUGUUCUCAAUGACUUGGUAUUUCACUCCUCCUCAUACUAACUCAAGAGAAUGUCGCCAAAUGAUUAAGGGAAAGAAAUACUGAAGAGGGCUUUAAAAUGUCCAAUUAGAACAAGUAAGUGUUUAAAGAUCGAUAUCA